rnacentral:lncRNA from 1 species
AACACUUGCCCACCCAGUCCCUUCAUGCCUGAGCAAGGCUUUGUUUCUUACAACAUAGUCCUUGAAAUGAGCCCAUCUGAAAAGAAGCCCCAAGCUGGCAAGGCUUAUGCCCAGUUCUCAGUACUGUGGCAAUGCGGGGACCAUGAAGUGGAGGUCCCACUGAGAUUGGGAAAGAGAGGAAUCCCUGAUGGGAUCGUUGGAGGAAGCCAGCCAGCGAAGUGGAAGGAACAUAAUGGGUGAGUGGUGCAGUGACAAACCAAAGGGCUUUUUACACCCUGUGGACUUGGCGUGUAUAUUCUGUGAACCUCAGUAAAGAAUUGGCAUUCUUGCAGCACGAAUAA